AGAGUUUGAUCAUGGCUCAGAGCGAACGCUGGCGGCAGGCCUAACACAUGCAAGUCGAGCGCCGUAGCAAUACGGAGCGGCAGACGGGAGAGUAACACGUGGGAACGUGCCCUUUGGUUCGGAACAACCCAGGGAAACUUGGGCUAAUACCGGAUAAGCCCUUACGGGGAAAGAUUUAUCGCCGAAGGAUCGGCCCGCGUCUGAUUAGCUAGUUGGUGGGGUAACGGCCCACCAAGGCGACGAUCAGUAGCUGGUCUGAGAGGAUGAUCAGCCUCACUGGGACUGAGACACGGCCCAGACUCCUACGGGAGGCAGUAGUGGGGAAUAUUGGACAAUGGGCGCAAGCCUGAUCCAGCCAUGCCGCGUGGGUGAUGAAGGCCCUAGGGUUGUAAAGCCCUUUCGGCGGGGAAGAUAAUGACGGUACCCGCAGAAGAAGCCCCGGCUAACUUCGUGCCAGCAGCCGCGGUAAUACGAAGGGGGCUAGCGUUGCUCGGAAUCACUGGGCGUAAAGCGCACGUAGGCGGCUUCUUAAGUCAGGGGUGAAAUCCUGGAGCUCAACUCCAGAACUGCCCUUGAUACUGAGGAGCUUGAGUCCGGGAGAGGUGAGUGGAACUGCGAGUGUAGAGGUGAAAUUCGUAGAUAUUCGCAAGAACACCAGUGGCGAAGGCGGCUCACUGGCCCGGUACUGACGCUGAGGUGCGAAAGCGUGGGGAGCAAACAGGAUUAGAUACCCUAGUAGUCC
rnacentral:rRNA from 1 species